rnacentral:rRNA from 1 species
UUGAUUUCUUCGGAAUGAAGUUUUUGUGACUGAGUGGCGGACGGGUGAGUAACGCGUGGGUAACCUGCCUCAUACAGGGGGAUAACAGUUGGAAACGACUGCUAAUACCGCAUAAGCGCACGGGAUUGCAUGAUCCAGUGUGAAAAACUCCGGUGGUAUGAGAUGGACCCGCGUCUGAUUAGCUGGUUGGUGAGGUAACGGCCCACCAAGGCGACGAUCAGUAGCCGGCCUGAGAGGGUGAACGGCCACAUUGGGACUGAGACACGGCCCAAACUCC